rnacentral:lncRNA from 1 species
GUCACAUUGUGCACAUUUUUCAAAUUGUGAUUCUCUCACCUCUAUUCUUAAAGAGUCCCAGGUCAGACUUUGAAUUCUCAGCCAGACCAUUGCCCUUGCCUUAAUCUAGUGCUCCCUAAUUUCUGGCCAUAAUAACUCCUACCCCUUACAGUCCCUGUGGCUCCCUCAACAAAAAGUUUUAAGUUACCAGACUAAUAUUUGUGACUCUGCUGAUUUCUCCUACCACAUCUUGUGUAACUGAAUGUCCUCAAGACCACCCUCAGGCUCAGUGAUUCACUACAAUUCACCAAGCUCAGCAAAGCUGUUAUACUUGUGGCCAGUUUUUUACAGCAAGAGGCCACAAACUAAAAUCAGCCAAGGGGAGAGGUGCAUAGGUGUGAAGCACAAGCUUCCCGGUGUUGCUCCUUUUGGAGUUCAUGGACAGCAUUUAGUGUUCCCGGCAACAACAUGUGGCAGCACAUGUGGAGUACAGGUGCUGUUUGACUUAACAUGAUGCUGUGUCCUGAGAAAAUCCAUCAUAAGUUGAAAAUGGAUGAAGUAUGCCUAACCUGAACAAGCUGGUUUAGCUGCACUGC